UACGGAGGGGGCUAGCGUUGUUCGGAAUCACUGGGCGUAAAGCGCACGUAGGCGGAUUGUUAAGUUAGGGGUGAAAUCCCAGGGCUCAACCCUGGAACUGCCUUUAAUACUGGCAAUCUCGAGUCCGAGAGAGGUGAGUGGAAUUCCGAGUGUAGAGGUGAAAUUCGUAGAUAUUCGGAGGAACACCAGUGGCGAAGGCGGCUCACUGGCCCGGAACUGACGCUG
rnacentral:rRNA from 1 species